rnacentral:lncRNA from 1 species
AUAUAUAUAUAUAUAUAUAUAUAUAUAUAUAUACCUCUUUUACACCAAUAAACUGUCUGAUUAAUAACUUAGAGCAUAAGGCAAGGCUCUGCCUGAGAAUGAAGAACCAACACUCAACUCAUUCGAUGUUCAAGUACAACUUCAACUUAAUUUGAUCAUAUAAGUUUACAUAAAACGUAUGUUUUUCAUCAUGUCAUACCUCCUAUAGCUAUUCUGAUCCUUUUGUCGUCUCACUUGCAACUUUUUCUACAGAAGUGGUAUAGGCCUCAUAACCGACAUGGAGGAAUAUAACUACUGUGUACGUACUGGCAAUCAAAGCUUCAUCCUCUUGCAUAGUGAUCAAUUUGGGCUAGCUAAAGUGCAUGGUGUGGACUGUGGAUCGAGAUCGUUAUAUGGGGUGGUACGUAGCUACUAGCUAGUGCCAAAUAGCCCAAACUACAAUAUCAGUAUUCCUUCUUUUCUUUUUUUUGGCCUGAAACAGUAUUCCUUCUUUAUAUCCUAGCUUUGUGGCCCAAACUGAUUCAUCCAUGAUCUAUGUAAAUGAGGAUGAAUCAUUGAAAAAAACUUUUGUUGCCAAGCACCGUAUCUCAUUCCUAAUCAAACUCAAUUUAUUCUUCUGAAUUUGAUAACAAUUUCCUGAUAAAUUCUAUCAGUUAAAAAAUACAGCCGAAGUUUAUAUGGGUUAACGACAUUUCGUCUAUGCCGAUGCAAAGGUUCACCUACACGUCCGAUGAUUUAGAAAUUUUGGUGAACAAAAUAAAACGAUCUUCAAAUUGACAUGUUCUUUUUUUUCCAAAAAAAUUAAAACUAGGGUAACACCUUCGUUCUUUUUGGUUUCAUUGUGUCUUUCUACCAGGCCACUAGGGUAACACUUUAACAGUUUUAGGGGACGGUUGGAGGGAAACCAUCUGUACCCUCUAUCAGUCUAUCUCAUAUCUUACGGUUAAGGAUAUUGUUGUUGUAAACCUCGGAAUCUCGGAUACAAAGAGUAGAGACCACAAAGGCAACAACAUAAGAGCAAAACAAACUAGGGUAAAUGUAAAAAGAAACACAGAAACAGACAGAGAGAGCUCUGAGAGUCUGAGGUUUCAGUGAGUGAAGAUAACAAACCAAGAAAGCGCCGUUUUUUGAUUUCUUGGCCUCUCAAACACACAACACCACUCACUCUCUUUUCAAAUUUCUCAACAAGAUUUUCUUUGCUGCUAUGCACCCUUCUCGUAUGUAAUCACCUUUCUCCCUUAAAUCUGUCUUUCUUCUGGUUAUGUAUAUGUUCUGCUCUCUUUGGUUUCUGAAGCAAAAGUAGAAACCAACGAAAAGAUCGAACUUUGAGCGAUUUAAGACUAAGCAGUCCUGGUUCCCGUUUGGUUCUUUGUUUUCUUCUUUCUGUUUUUGGUGUUUUUCGAUCCAAUUCUGUAAUGGGUCAUCCUAAUUCUGUUAAAUGCAGGGUAAUCUGAGAGAAAAUCCUUUGAUUUCCCAAUUAUCUCCUCAGAUCUUCUGGUCAGUUUUCAGUUUCAGAGAAAUAAAUUCUGUGUUGAAUUUGCAAUUUGGGUGAUAAUAAGAUGUGAUACUGGUGUUGCAGGGAUGGAGAAGGAAGGGAAGAGCAGUAGAAGUAGAGAGUCAGAGUUUGUGCUGCAAUGGGGGAACAGGAAGAGGCUUAGAUGUCAGAAGGUGAAGGUCAAGAAAGAACGAAGCUUUGACACCAACAUCAUCACCAAAUCCAGGAAAAUCAGAGACUCUCCCUCUCCAAUACCUCAGCGCAUUAACAAGUAAGUAAAAAGAUCAAUGCUUUAGUUCUUAAUAGAAGAAAAUAUUCCUGUCUUUUCUUUAAGAAGCUAUUGUUUCACUAAGAGCUUGUUUGUUAUAUUGUAUUGUAAUUGGAAAUUUUAAUUGGGUUUAGAUAGAAGGAGAAUGGGGUACUUGGAAAGAGAAUAUACUUCACUAAUGCUUAUUUUUAUUGGUUGGAGAGAAAGAUCGAUUCUGUAAUCAUAUGAUAGUUGAGGAGGUGCUGUUGAUACUAUUGGAUUCGAGAUUUCAUAACCCUAUGUUUAUCAUGAAACAAUUUUGUGCUAAUACAGAUUUGUUGAAAAGGCGAAAUGUGCUUACCAUUUUUAUAAGUGACUAUGUUUUGUUUGAUAGCAGGAGCUCGACGUCGCCAUUGAACAGUAGGAAGUUAUUUAUCACAUCUCCGGAGAAGGAAGAUCGGUAUUACACAACUAGGGGUUCCUUAGGGUUGGAUGAUAAUGGUAAGAUGUUAGGAUUAGAUCAUCAUGGUCAUGCGGUGGAGGAUAAAGGAAGCAAUGUUUGGCCAAAAUUGUUCCUAUCAUUGUCUAGUAAAGAAAAGGAAGAGGAUUUCAUGGCAAUGAAAGGGUGUAAGUUACCUCAAAGGCCCAAGAAAAGAGCAAAGUUGCUACAAAAAAGCUUACAUGUAAGUUUUCCAUGACCUUGAGAGAGAGAGAGAGGGAGAGGGAGAGGGACAGAGAGUUUGUGAUGUGUUUGUGACUUAAUCUUCCUUGUGCUGUGCAGUUGGUAAUGCCAGGUGUAUGGUUAUCAGAUUUGUGCCGAGAGAGGUAUGAAGUGAGGGAGAAGAAGACUUCAAAAAAGGUACCAUCUCUUGUAACCAAGUGUUUUCCUGUCCUCAAACUUAGUUCGGUUCUGCAAAUUUAUGAGAAUGUUAUAUGACUGUGUUUCCAUAUGAUGAUGUAGAGAGCCCGGGGUUUGAAGGCUAUGGGCGGUUUAGAUAGUGAUUCGGACUGAGAGAUAGAUCAGUUGCAAAAGAGGAUACAGGUUUUUGGGAUCAGUAGGCAACCAAGGGACAAUGAUCAAAGCCGGCAAAAAUACAAUGAAAGAAUUGGUGUGGUCUAAACUUCCUUUGGUUGUCUAUGUAGAAACUUCUCUGGCAUUUUUUUACGUUGGAAAAUAAAUUUCAUCAUCUGCCUCACUGCCUCAGUUCCUGACUUCCUGUUGUUUAAUCAAGGUAGUUGAUUAGUAUACAAGAUCACUGUUCUUCUACUUGCGUUGUGCUAUGCAUCUCAUAUCAUGGGUUAAUCAGUCAUUAUGAGGCAGUUUGCGUGCCAUAGUCGUAUAUACAUUUGUUAUAAAGCGGAGAUUGCAGGCUGACAUCAUAUUUGGAGAAAUUCUAUAUAAUUAUAAAGUAUACAGCCCCCUUCCAUUGAGGGAUCCCUAUUUUUGGCCACUUUCUAGGGAUAGGGCAUUACACCACUUCCCAAUUGAAUUUUUACAUCUCCACCGUUCAUAUCUUAGGUCUAUAUGAGUAGAUCACCUCUACAAAAANNNNNNNNNNNNNNNNNNNNAUUUAGUUUUAAUGAUUUUGAACGGUCCAGCUUAUGUCAAACUAAAACCGUUGAAGGUCAUUAAAACUAAAUUGAACUUUUGAAAGCCUUAACAAUCACCAAAUCAUAUGAAAUUUUGUAGAGGUGAUCUACUCAUAUAGACCUAAGAUAUGAACGGUGGAGAUGUAAAAUUAUAAUCGGGAAGUUGGUGUAAUGCCCUAUCCCUAUAAAUGGCUUAAAAUAGG